rnacentral:rRNA from 1 species
GUGUCAGCAGCCGCGGUAAGACAGAGGGUGCAAACGUUGUUCGGAAUUACUGGGCGUAAAGCGCGUGUAGGCUGUUUCGAAAGUCGGAUGUGAAAGCCCUGGGCUCAACCUAGGAAGUGCAUUCGAAACUUCGAGACUCGAGUCCUGGAGAGGAUCGCGGAAUUCUCGGUGUAGAGGUGAAAUUCGUAGAUAUCGAGAGGAACACCGGUGGCGAAGGCGGCGAUCUGGACAGUGACUGACGCUGAGACGCGAAAGCGUGGGGAGCAAACAGGAUUAGAUACCCUGGUAGUCCACGCCGUAAACGAUGGGUGCUAGGUGUCUGGGGCUUUGACCCCUCAGGUGCCGUAGCUAACGCAUUAAGCACCCCGCCUGGGGAGUACGGCCGCAAGGCUAAA